rfam:Ipomoea nil DNA, scaffold: scaffold2283, cultivar: Tokyo-kokei standard.
GGGGGUGUAGCUCAUAUGGUAGAACGCUCUCUUUGCAUGCGAGAGGCACGGGGUUUGAUUCCACGCACCUCCA